rnacentral:rRNA from 1 species
ACUACGGGGGGCAGCAGUGGGGAAUAUUGGGCAAUGGGCGCAAGCCUGACCCAGCAACGCCGCGUGAAGGAAGAAGGCUUUCGGGUUGUAAACUUCUUUUCUCAGGGACGAAGAAAGUGACGGUACCUGAGGAAUAAGCCACGGCUAACUACGUGCCAGCAGCCGCGGUAAUACGUAGGUGGCAAGCGUUAUCCGGAUUUAUUGGGUGUAAAGGGCGUGUAGGCGGGAGCGCAAGUCAGAUGUGAAAACUCAGGGCUCAACCCUGAGCCUGCAUUUGAAACUGUGUUUCUUGAGUGCUGGAGAGGCAAUCGGAAUUCCGUGUGUAGCGGUGAAAUGCGUAGAUAUACGGAGGAACACCAGUGGCGAAGGCGGAUUGCUGGACAGUAACUGACGCUGAGGCGCGAAAGCGUGGGGAGCAAACAGGAUUAGAUACCCCUGUAGUC